rnacentral:lncRNA from 1 species
UUAGUGUUUUGCUGCUGUGAACAGACACCAUGACCAAGGCAACUCUUAUUACGGCAGCAUAAACUGGGGUUGGCUUUCAGGUUCAGAGAUUUAGUGCAGUAUCAUCAAGGUGGGAGCAUGGCAGCAUCCAGGCAGGCAUGGUGCAGGAGAAGCUGAGAGUUCAACAUCUUUAUCUGCAGGCCUCUAAGAGAAGACUAACUUCCAGGGAAUCGGGGAUUCAGUUCCUAGUUGCUGGAUAUGCCACAGGAUCCUACAAGCCAUUUUUAAAAUGCCCUACUUUGGUAGGCGAAUGAGAUGGGUCUUGGUUUUCAC